GAGGCUUUAGCUUAAUUAAGCGUUUGUUUUGCAUACAGAAGAUGUGGGUUAAAUUCCUGCAAGUUUUA
rnacentral:tRNA from 1 species